ensembl:ncRNA C41H7.11 ncRNA
CCUAAGCCUAAGCAUAAGACUAAGCUUAAGCCUAAGCCCAAGCCUAAGCCCAAGUCUAAGCCUAACACUAAACCUAACCGUGAGUCCGAGCCUUAGCCUUAGCCUAAGUUUGAGCCUAAGCCUAAGCCUAAGCCUAAGCCUAAGCCUAAA